rnacentral:rRNA from 1 species
CAACCGCAUAUAUUAAAGUUGUUGCGGCUAAAAAGCUCGUAGUUGGAUUUCUGCCGAGGACGAACGGUCCGCCUCUGGGUGAACAUCUGGAUCGGCCUGGGCAUCUUCUUGGAGAACGUAUCUGCACUUGACUGUGUGGUGCGGUAUCCAGGAUUCCUACUUUGAGGGGAAUUCGAGUGAUUCAAGCAGGCAUACGCCUUGAAUACAUUAGCAUGGAAUAAUAAGAUAGGACCUCGGUUCUAUUUUGUUUGUUUCUAGAGCUGAGGUAAUGAUUAAUAGGGAUAGUUGGGGGCAUUAGUACUUGACUGUCAGAGGUGAAAUUCUCCGAUUUGUUAAAGACUAACUUAUGCGAAAGCAUUUGCCAAGGAUGUUUUUCUUAAUCAAGAACGAAAGUUAGGGGAUCAAAGACGAUCAGAU